UAUGACACAAUCUUUAGCAUAUGUCUAUGUAAAGGUUAUGAGGAGACAGAGACACACAUGCAAGAAUCCCUUGCUAAUAAUUUUUAUUGUUUUUUUUUGGGGAAUUUAUAGAUUAAAACCAUUACUCUGAAGUUUUAUGAAUCAUAAUACAUUCUAUUUGAAUCUUUGAUAGUAAGUAGAAGUGAUACGUGAACGAGUUGUAUGUGUUUUGCUUCCUUCAUAAGUUACAACUUUUCAAAUUUGUACACCAUGAAAUUGGAUAGACUCAUUAAUUCAUGAUUUGGCAUGUACAUGAUUAAAACUUCAUCUUCACCUUUCUCUAACAUAUCACCGCAAUCUAUUUUGAAUUUCAAACUCAACAAGGACAAUUAAACACGAUGGUUUCGCUCGUUGAAAGACUUAAUCCAACACCUUAGUGCACGAGCCCUCCAACCCCUCCUUUUUAGGAUCCACCUCAUUUCAAUAACCUGUCUCCUACUGCCUUUUUUUUGAGAAAUGGGAAAGUCAAAAUGCUUAGAGAUGAAAAUGAGAGAAUGUCUACAAUAUCUAGAAUAACAAUCUCUUUAUUUAUGGGUAAAUUUCACAAACAGUCACUGAACUUAACUAAAAAUUUCAGAAUAGUCACUGAAAUUACAAACUUGCAGAAACGGUCACUGAAGUUUUGGGACGGUUUCACCAACGGUCACUCUUUUAAAUUGGUAGCACUAUAUGACUUUAAUUCAAACUUAAAGGACCAGAACACGUGAACACAAAACCUUGAGGACCUCAAGUGAAAAUUUCAUCUAAACCCUUACUCCCAACCCCACAAACCCAAACGACCAGCAGCCACCGCCUCACUUCGGUCAGUCACCGAAGAUCCAAGAAGCUUCUCUCCGGUAUUCUCAUCUAAGUCCGAACAAUCCUUGGGCAAUUUCUUAGUAUAGUAUUUAGCAACAGAGGCAGAUGACCUUAUAUGAUGAUUUCCAGCAGUCCCUACUAUAACCUUAGUUGCACAGUAGGAAUUGGCCUCUCGAACAGGAAUUUUCCGAACUGAUGAACCUCGGCAAACCUUUAGCUUUAGAUCCACGUGCAACAUCACUAGUUAAAUCCCGACUAAAGCUAAAGGUUAAAUCCCAACUCAAAAAUGAUGAUUCAAUCAUAGAAAUUAAAUUAUUUUCUUAUUCUUGCAAGUGGAAACAAGAGGAGAAAAUAUAUAAAAGCAAAAAUGCAUGUGGGCUUGACUGCUUAAGAGAAUAGAUCCACUGACAAAGCUCAAAUUUUUACCGAAUCACUAUCAAUUCCAGAAAAAAACUCAUCAACUGUGUGACAUUUCAAGAAAAUUGCAGGGAUCCCAAAUGAUAUUUGACAAGAAAUAUUGAAAAUUGUGAGAAAAUUACCUAUUUCAGAUUGCAGAAACCUUCAUAAACUGCAAGAAUGGAGUCAAAUGCUUUUACCAAAGAGAAGAUGAUUUACCAUCACGAUCCACAAUUUCCGCACAGCCCAAAUCAAUUAUUCACUAAAUGAAAAUACAAGUAAAAAAAUCUUUACUUCCAGAUGCCCCAGACACGACUAGACGAGGAAAAGCAUAGUCAAGAAGAGCUUCAAGUAUUGGAAGAAGAAGACCACCAACAAUUCUCCAAUCGAGAAUCUCGAGCAAAAUCUCAUUACAGUGGAGGAGGAGGCGGCUGCAGGUUGGACGGAGAUGUGAGUUGCGGCUGCUGGUCGUUUGGGUUUGGGGGUGGGGGUUUAGAUGAAAUUUUCACUUGAGGUCCUCAAGGUUUUGUGUUCACAUGUUCUGGUCCUUUAAGUUUGAAUUAAAAUCAUAACGAUCCUAAUGGUACUACUAACUUAACAGAGUGACCAUUAGUGAAAUCCCCCUAAAAUUUCAGUGACC
rnacentral:lncRNA from 1 species